AGAGUUUGAUCCUGGCUCAGAACGAACGCUGGCGGCGUGCCUAACACAUGCAAGUCCGACGUGAAAGGGGAGCAAUCCCCCGGUAGGGUGGCAAACGGGUGAGUAAGACAUGGGUGAUCUACCCUGGAGAUGGGGAUAUCCCUCCGAAAGGGGGGGCAAUACCGAAUAGAGUCCGGUUCCGUGAAGGGGACCGGGGAAAGGGAGGCCUCUGGAACAAGCUUCCGCUCCUGGAUGAGCCCAUGGCCCAUCAGCUAGUUGGUAGGGUAAAGGCCUACCAAGGCGACGACGGGUAGCUGGUCUGAGAGGACAACCAGCCACACUGGCACUGAGACACGGGCCAGACUCCUACGGGAGGCAGCAGUGAGGAAUAUUGCGCAAUGGGGGCAACCCUGACGCAGCAACGCCGCGUGUGGGAAGAAGGCUUUCGGGUUGUAAACCACUUUUGCCCGGGACGAAAAGGGGCGUCAGAACACGGCGCUUCGAUGACGGUACCGGGAGAAUAAGCCACGGCUAACUCUGUGCCAGCAGCCGCGGUAAGACAGAGGUGGCAAGCGUUGUUCGGAGUUACUGGGCGUAAAGAGUCUGUAGGUGGUUUGUCAAGUCUUUGGGUGAAAGGGCCGUGGCUUAACCAUGGGAAAUGCCAAAGAGACUGGCAGACUGGAGGCUGGGAGAGGGAAGCGGAAUUUCUGGUGUAGCGGUGAAAUGCGUAGAUAUCAGAAGGAAGGCCGGUGGCGAAGGCGGCUUCCUGGAACAGGCCUGACACUGAGAGACGAAAGCGUGGGGAGCAAACAGGAUUAGAUACCCUGGUAGUCCACGCCCUAAACGAUGGGUACUAAGUGUGGGAGGGUUAAACCUCCCGUGCC
rnacentral:rRNA from 1 species